rnacentral:rRNA from 1 species
UGUGUUACUGACUGGUCUGCUCUUCUUCGCAAAGACUGCGUGUGCUCUUUGUUCGAGUGUGCGUACGAUCUACCACCUCUACUCUCGAAAAAAUUACAGUGUUCAAAGCAGGCUAUUGCUUGAAUACAUGAGCAUGGAAUAAUGGAAUAGCGACUUUGGUCCCAUUUUGUUGGUUUCUAGGACCGAAGUAAUGAUUAAGAGGGACAAUUGGGGGCAUCCGUAUUUCCGUUGUCAGAGGUGA